rnacentral:rRNA from 1 species
AUUGAACGCUGGCGGCAGGCCUAACACAUGCAAGUCGAACGAGUGGCGGACGGGUGAGUAAGGUACGGGAAACGGCCUGAGGGAGAGGUACAACUACUGGAAACGGAAGCUGACACCGCAUACCAUCGCAGGUGCCCAGAUGGGAUUAGCUAGGGGGUGGGGUAAACGCUCACAUAGGCGACGAUCCCUAUCGGGUUUGAGAGGAUGACCAGCCACACUGGAACUGAGACACGGUCCAGACUCCUACGGGAGGCAGCAGUGGGGAAUAUUGGACAAUGGGCGAAAGCCUGAUGCAGCCAUGCCGCGUGUGUGAGGAAGGCCUUCGGGUUGUAAAGUACUUUCGGCGGGAAGGCGUUACCCGCAGAAUAAGCACCGGCUAACUCCGUGCCAGCAGCCGCGGUAAUUC